rnacentral:rRNA from 1 species
UUAAGUUAUUAAGGGCGCACGGUGGAUGCCUUGGCACUAGAAGCCGAUGAAGGACGUUACUAACGACGAUAUGCUUUGGGGAGCUGUAAGUAAGCUUUGAUCCAGAGAUUUCCGAAUGGGGAAACCCAGCAUGAGUUAUGUCAUGUUAUCGAUAUGUGAAUACAUAGCAUAUCAGAAGGCACACCCGGAGAACUGAAACAUCUUAGUACCCGGAGGAAGAGAAAGAAAAUUCGAUUCCCUUAGUAGCGGCGAGCGAAACGGGAAGAGCCCAAACCAACAAGCUUGCUUGUUGGGGUUGUAGGACACUCUAUACGGAGUUACAAAGGACGACAUUAGACGAAUCAUCUGGAAAGAUGAAUCAAAGAAGGUAAUAAUCCUGUAGUCGAAAAUGUUGUCUCUCUUGAGUGGAUCCUGAGUACGACGGAGCACGUGAAAUUCCGUCGGAAUCUGGGAGGACCAUCUCCUAAGGCUAAAUACUCUCUAGUGACCGAUAGUGAACCAGUACCGUGAGGGAAAGGUGAAAAGCACCCCGGAAGGGGAGUGAAAUAGAACCUGAAACCGUGUGCUUACAAGUAGUCAGAGCCCGUUAAUGGGUGAUGGCGUGCCUUUUGUAGAAUGAACCGGCGAGUUACGAUUUGAUGCAAGGUUAAGCAGUAAAUGUGGAGCCGUAGCGAAAGCGAGUCUGAAUAGGGCGUUUAGUAUUUGGUCGUAGACCCGAAACCAGGUGAUCUACCCUUGGUCAGGUUGAAGUUCAGGUAACACUGAAUGGAGGACCGAACCGACUUACGUUGAAAAGUGAGCGGAUGAACUGAGGGUAGCGGAGAAAUUCCAAUCGAACCUGGAGAUAGCUGGUUCUCUCCGAAAUAGCUUUAGGGCUAGCCUCAAGUGAUGAUUAUUGGAGGUAGAGCACUGUUUGGACGAGGGGCCCCUCUCGGGUUACCGAAUUCAGACAAACUCCGAAUGCCAAUUAAUUUAACUUGGGAGUCAGAACAUGGGUGAUAAGGUCCGUGUUCGAAAGGGAAACAGCCCAGACCACCAGCUAAGGUCCCAAAAUAUAUGUUAAGUGGAAAAGGAUGUGGCGUUGCCCAGACAACUAGGAUGUUGGCUUAGAAGCAGCCAUCAUUUAAAGAGUGCGUAAUAGCUCACUAGUCGAGUGACACUGCGCCGAAAAUGUACCGGGGCUAAACAUAUUACCGAAGCUGUGGAUUGUCCUUUGGACAAUGGUAGGAGAGCGUUCUAAGGGCGUUGAAGCAUGAUCGUAAGGACAUGUGGAGCGCUUAGAAGUGAGAAUGCCGGUGUGAGUAGCGAAAGACGGGUGAGAAUCCCGUCCACCGAUUGACUAAGGUUUCCAGAGGAAGGCUCGUCCGCUCUGGGCUAGUCGGGUCCUAAGCUGAGGCCGACAGGCGUAGGCGAUGGAUAACAGGUUGAUAUUCCUGUACCACCUAUAAUCGUUUUAAUCGAUGGGGGGACGCAGUAGGAUAGGCGAAGCGUGCGAUUGGAUUGCACGUCUAAGCAGUAAGGCUGAGUAUUAGGCAAAUCCGGUACUCGUUAAGGCUGAGCUGUGAUGGGGAGAAGACAUUGAGUCUUCGAGUCGUUGAUUUCACACUGCCGAGAAAAGCCUCUAGAUAGAAAAUAGGUGCCCGUACCGCAAACCGACACAGGUAGUCAAGAUGAGAAUUCUAAGGUGAGCGAGCGAACUCUCGUUAAGGAACUCGGCAAAAUGACCCCGUAACUUCGGGAGAAGGGGUGCUCUUUAGGGUUAACGCCCAGAAGAGCCGCAGUGAAUAGGCCCAAGCGACUGUUUAUCAAAAACACAGGUCUCUGCUAAACCGUAAGGUGAUGUAUAGGGGCUGACGCCUGCCCGGUGCUGGAAGGUUAAGAGGAGUGGUUAGCUUCUGCGAAGCUACGAAUCGAAGCCCCAGUAAACGGCGGCCGUAACUAUAACGGUCCUAAGGUAGCGAAAUUCCUUGUCGGGUAAGUUCCGACCCGCACGAAAGGCGUAACGAUUUGGGCACUGUCUCAACGAGAGACUCGGUGAAAUCAUAGUACCUGUGAAGAUGCAGGUUACCCGCGACAGGACGGAAAGACCCCGUGGAGCUUUACUGUAGCCUGAUAUUGAAAUUCGGCACAGCUUGUACAGGAUAGGUAGGAGCCUUUGAAACGUGAGCGCUAGCUUACGUGGAGGCGCUGGUGGGAUACUACCCUAGCUGUGUUGGCUUUCUAACCCGCACCACUUAUCGUGGUGGGAGACAGUGUCAAGCGGGCAGUUUGACUGGGGCGGUCGCCUCCUAAAAGGUAACGGAGGCGCUCAAAGGUUCCCUCAGAAUGGUUGGAAAUCAUUCAUAGAGUGUAAAGGCAUAAGGGAGCUUGACUGCGAGACCUACAAGUCGAGCAGGGUCGAAAGACGGACUUAGUGAUCCGGUGGUUCCGCAUGGAAGGGCCAUCGCUCAACGGAUAAAAGCUACCCCGGGGAUAACAGGCUUAUCUCCCCCAAGAGUUCACAUCGACGGGGAGGUUUGGCACCUCGAUGUCGGCUCAUCGCAUCCUGGGGCUGUAGUCGGUCCCAAGGGUUGGGCUGUUCGCCCAUUAAAGCGGUACGCGAGCUGGGUUCAGAACGUCGUGAGACAGUUCGGUCCCUAUCCGUCGUGGGCGUAGGAAAUUUGAGAGGAGCUGUCCUUAGUACGAGAGGACCGGGAUGGACAUACCUCUGGUGUACCAGUUGUCGUGCCAACGGCAUAGCUGGGUAGCUAUGUGUGGACGGGAUAAGUGCUGAAAGCAUCUAAGCAUGAAGCCCCCCUCAAGAUGAGAUUUCCCAACUUCGGUUAUAAGAUCCCUCAAAGAUGAUGAGGUUAAUAGGUUCGAGGUGGAAGCAUGGUGACAUGUGGAGCUGACGAAUACUAAUCGAUCGAAGACUUAAUCAA